GAAUUCGCCCUUAGAGUUUGAUCCUGGCUCAGGAUUAACGCUGGCGGCGUGCAUAACACAUUCAAGUCGAACGGAACAGAAAGGCUUCUGUUUUUCUGUUUAGUGGCGGACGGGUGAGUAACGCGUGAGUAAUCUACCUCUGGGUGCGGAAUAACAACCGGAAACAGUUGCUAAUACCGCAUGAAACAGCAGAACCGCAUGGUUCAACUGUCAAAGGCUUGCUGCCCGGAGAUGAGCUUGCGUCCGAUUAGAUAGUUGGCGGGGUAAGAGCCCACCAAGUCGACGAUCGGUAGCCGGACUGAGAGGUUGAACGGCCACAUUGGAACUGAGAUACGGUCCAGACUCCUACGGGAGGCAGCAGUGGGGAAUAUUGGGCAAUGGGCGAAAGCCUGACCCAGCGACGCCGCGUGAGGGAAGAAGAUCUUCGGAUUGUAAACCUUAGUCAACAGGGAAGAAGCAAGUGACGGUACCUGUGGAGGAAGCCACGGCUAACUACGUGCCAGCAGCCGCGGAAAUACGUAGGUGGCGAGCGUUAUCCGGAAUUACUGGGUGUAAAGGGUGUGUAGGCGGGCUAGCAAGUCAGAUGUGAAAACUAUGGGCCUAACCCAUAGCCUGCAUUUGAAACUGUUGGUCUUGAGAGUGGGAGAGGUAAACGGAAUUCCCGGUGUAGCGGUGAAAUGCGUAGAUAUCAGGAGGAACACCGAUGGCGAAGGCAGGUCUCUGGGCUGUAACUGACGCUGAGGAGCGAAAGCAUGGGGAGCGAACAGGAUUAGAUACCCUGGUAGUCCACGCUGUAAACGAUGAUUACUAGGUGUGGGGGGAUUGACCCCUUCCGUGCCGCAGUUAACACAAUAAGUAAUCCACCUGGGGAGUACGACCGCAAGGUUGAAACUCAAAGGAAUUGACGGGGGCCCGCACAAGCGGCGGAGCAUGCGGAUUAAUUCGAUGCAACGCGAAGAACCUUACCAAGGCUUGACAUGAUCCGGAAAGGCCUGGAAACAGGUCCCCCACUUGUGGCCGGUUUACAGGUGGUGCAUGGUUGUCGUCAGCUCGUGUCGUGAGAUGUUGGGUUAAGUCCCGCAACGAGCGCAACCCUCGUUCUAUGUUGCCAGCGGGUUAUGCCGGGGACUCAUAGGAGACUGCCGGGGUCAACUCGGAGGAAGGUGGGGACGACGUCAAAUCAUCAUGCCCCUUAUGUCUUGGGCUUCACGCAUGCUACAAUGGCCGGUACAAAGGGUUGCGAUACUGUGAGGUGGAGCUAAUCCCAAAAAGCCGGUCUCAGUUCGGAUUGAGGUCUGCAACUCGACCUCAUGAAGUUGGAGUCGCUAGUAUUCGCAGAUCAGCAACGCUGCGGUGAAUACGUUCCCGGGCCUUGUACUCACCGCCCGUCA
rnacentral:rRNA from 1 species